rnacentral:rRNA from 1 species
UACGGAGGUAGCUAGCGUUGUUCGGAAUUACUGGGCGUAAAGCGCGCGUAGGCGGCUUUUCAAGUCAGGGGUGAAAUCCCGGGGCUCAACCCCGGAACUGCCCUUGAAACUGGAUGGCUAGAAUACUGGAGAGGUGAGUGGAAUUCCGAGUGUAGAGGUGAAAUUCGUAGAUAUUCGGAAGAACACAAGUGGCGAAGGCGACUCACUGGACAGUUAUUGACGCUGAGGUGCGAAAGCGUGGGGAGCAAACAGG